rnacentral:rRNA from 1 species
CAGUAGCCGCGGUAAUACGAAGGGGGCUAGCGUUGUUCGGAUUAACUGGGCGUAAAGGGCGCGUAGGCGGGUUUUUAAGUCAGAGGUGAAAUCCCAAGGCUCAACCUUGGAACUGCCUUUGAUACUGGAAGUCUUGAGUCCGGGAGAGGUGAGUGGAACUGCGAGUGUAGAGGUGAAAUUCGUAGAUAUUCGCAAGAACACCAGUGGCGAAGGCGGCUCACUGGCCCGGUACUGACGCUGAGGCGCGAAAGCGUGGGGAGCAAACAGGAUUAGAUACCCGCGUAGUCCCUGUCUCUUAUAC